AGGAAUUUAGGUUAAGCAGACCAAUAGCCUUCAAAGCUUUAAGCAAGCCGUCUAAGCUUAAUUCCUG
rnacentral:tRNA from 1 species